rnacentral:rRNA from 1 species
GACGAACGCUGGCGGCGUGCCUAAUACAUGCAAGUAGAACGCUGAAGAGAGGAGCUUGCUCUUCUUGGAUGAGUUGCGAACGGGUGAGUAACGCGUAGGUAACCUGCCUUGUAGCGGGGGAUAACUAUUGGAAACGAUAGCUAAUACCGCAUAACAAUGGAUGACCCAUGUCAUUUAUUUGAAAGGGGCAAAUGCUCCACUACAAGAUGGACCUGCGUUGUAUUAGCUAGUAGGUGAGGUAACGGCUCACCUAGGCGACGAUACAUAGCCGACCUGAGAGGGUGAUCGGCCACACUGGGACUGAGACACGGCCCAGACUCCUACGGGAGGCAGCAGUAGGGAAUCUUCGGCAAUGGGGGCAACCCUGACCGAGCAACGCCGCGUGAGUGAAGAAGGGUGUCGGAUCGUAAAGCUCUGUUGUAAGUCAAGAACGAGUGUGAGAGUGGAAAGUUCACACUGUGACGGUAGCUUACCAGAAAGGGACGGCUAACUACGUG